rnacentral:rRNA from 1 species
UAGAGUUUGAUCCUGGACUCAGGAUGAACGCUGGCGGCGCGCCUAACACAUGCAAGUCGAACGGUUAAAGCAUCUUCGGAUGUGUAUAAAGUGGCGAACGGCUGAGUAACACGUGGGCAACCUGCCCUUUGCACUGGGAUAGCCUCGGGAAACCGAGGUUAAUACCGGAUACUCCAUAUUUGUCGCAUGGCGAAUAUGGGAAAGCUCCGGCGGCAAAGGAUGGGCCCGCGGCCUGUUAGCUAGUUGUGGGGUAGUGGCCUACCAAGGCAAUGAUGGGUAGCCGGGUUGAGAGACCGACCGGCCAGAUUGGGACUGAGACACGGCCCAGACUCCUACGGGAGGCAGCAGUGGGGAAUCUUGCACAAUGGGCGAAAGCCUGAUGCAGCGACGCCGCGUGCGGGAUGAAGGCCUUCGGGUUGUAAACCGCUUUCAGCAGGGACGGGGCCGCAAGGUGACGGUACCUGCAGAAGAAGCCCCGGCUAACUACGUG